rnacentral:rRNA from 1 species
AACGAACGCUGGCGGCAUGCCUAACACAUGCAAGUCGAACGAGACCUUCGGGUCUAGUGGCGCACGGGUGCGUAACGCGUGGGAACCUGCCCUUAGGUUCGGAAUAACUCCCCGAAAGGGGUGCUAAUACCGGAUAAUGUCUUCGGACCAAAGAUUGAUCGCCUUUGGAUGGGCCCGCGUUGGAUUAGCUAGUUGGUAGGGUAAAAGCCUACCAAGGCGACGAUCCAUAGCUGGUCUGAGAGGAUGAUCAGCCACACUGGGACUGAGACACGGCCCAGACUCCUACGGGAGGCAGCAGUGGGGAAUAUUGGACAAUGGGCGAAAGCCUGAUCCAGCAAGGCCGCGUGAGUGAUGAAGGCCUUAGGGUUGUAAAGCUCUUUUACCCGGGAUGAUAAUGACAGUACCGGGAGAAUAAGCACCGGCUAACUCCGUG